CGGCCUACCGACUGUUACCCAGCUC
rnacentral:piRNA from 1 species